UACAGAGGGUGCAAGCGUUGUUCGGAAUUAUUGGGCGUAAAGGGCGCGUAGGCGGUGCUGUAAGUCUGUAGUGAAAUCUCUGGGCUCAACUCAGAGUCUGCUAUAGAAACUGCAGUGCUGGAGUGUGGGAGAGGUGAGUGGAAUUCCGGGUGGAGCGGUGAAAUGCGUAGAGAUCCGGAGGAACACCGACGGCGAAGGCAGCGCCCUGGCCGCCAUCUGACGCUCAGGCACGAAAGCUGGGGGAGCGAACAGG
rnacentral:rRNA from 1 species